rnacentral:rRNA from 1 species
GACGUAGGGCGCGAGCGUUGUCCGGAUUUAUUGGGCGUAAAGAGCUCGUAGGCGGCUUGUCGCGUCGACUGUGAAAUCCCACGGCUCAACCGUGGAACUGCUGGGCAUACUGCGGGUCUUGGGCCAACUAGGGGCAGCCGGAACAAGCGGUGGAGCGGUGAAAUGCGUAGAUAUCGCUUGGAACGCCGAAGGUGAAAACAGGCUGCUGGGGUUGCGCCGACGCUGAGACACGAAAGCCAGGGGAGCAAACGGG